AGAGUUUGAUCCUGGCUCAGGAUGAACGCUAGCGGCAGGCUUAACACAUGCAAGUCGAGGGGCAGCGGGGGAGGUGCUUGCACUUCCCGCCGGCGACCGGCGCACGGGUGAGUAACACGUAUGCAACCUGCCCCUGUCAGGGGGACAACACGGCGAAAGCCGUGCUAAUCCCGCGUAUAUCCGGAGGGGGCAUCCCCUUUGGAGGAAAGGUUUCGGCCGGACAGGGAUGGGCAUGCGGCGCAUUAGGUAGUUGGCAGGGCAACGGCCUACCAAGCCGACGAUGCGUAGGGGUUCUGAGAGGAAGGCCCCCCACACUGGUACUGAGACACGGACCAGACUCCUACGGGAGGCAGCAGUGAGGAAUAUUGGUCAAUGGGCGGAUGCCUGAACCAGCCAAGCCGCGUGAGGGAAGAAGGCCCUACGGGUCGUAAACCUCUUUUGCCGGGGGAUAAAAUCGGGGGUUUAGCCCCGACCGAAGGUACCCGGAGAAAAAGCAUCGGCUAACUCCGUGCCAGCAGCCGCGGUAAUACGGAGGAUGCGAGCGUUAUCCGGAUUUAUUGGGUUUAAAGGGUGCGCAGGCGGCACGGUAAGUCAGCGGUAAAAGCCCGGGGCUCAACCCCGGCGAGCCGUUGAAACUGCCGCGCUUGAGUAGGAUCGAGGUAUGCGGAAUGCGCGGUGUAGCGGUGAAAUGCAUAGAUAUCGCGCAGAACUCCGAUUGCGAAGGCAGCAUACCGGGUCUUCACUGACGCUCAGGCACGAAAGCGUGGGGAUCGAACAGGAUUAGAUACCCUGGUAGUCCACGCAGUAAACGAUGAA
rnacentral:rRNA from 1 species